CCUACGGGAGGCAGCAGUGAGGAAUAUUGGUCAAUGGUCGUAAGACUGAACCAGCCAAGUCGCGUGAGGGAUGAAGGUACAAUGUAUCGUAAACCUCUUUUAUCAGGGAAUAAAGAGUGGGACGUGUCCCGUGUUGAGUGUACCUUAUGAAAAAGCAUCGGCUAACUCCGUGCCAGCAGCCGCGGUAAUACGGAGGAUGCGAGCGUUAUCCGGUUUUAUUGGGUUUAAAGGGUGCGCAGGCGGCCUGUUAAGUCAGCGGUAAAAGCCCGGGGCUCAACCCCGGCGAGCCGUUGAAACUGGGAGGCUUGAGUUGGAGAGAAGCAUGCGGAAUGCGCGGUGUAGCGGUGAAAUGCUUAGAUAUCGCGCAGAACCCCGAUUGCGAAGGCAGCCUGCC
rnacentral:rRNA from 1 species